GUAUAAUCUAUUGCGCAUGCGUUAUAGUGUUGCGGAAUCUGUCGUCGUGGCUCCCGCCGUCCAGGUGUGAUGGACUGUGUAAGCUGUCGCUGUGAAUGAAUCCAAGAUCAUGCUCAGAAUUUGUCAUUUCAGUUAAAAUCACAAGGUCGGGUGGUAGGUCUACGUUGAGGAUACACAACCUGCUGGGGCGGGUCUGGAGAUCUACUGUAUCUUCUGAUCUGUUGCUGUCAGUAGAUGGCAUUGUGAAAGUAUCAAGAUCUUAUUGGAUUUGGGCACUGCAGCAAUGUGAGAUUGACUGACUGGUUCUUAAUUUACCAUAGACAUUUACAGAACAGAAAGGGAUCGGAGACGAGUUCGACGGCCAGAUGACACUGAGAAAAAUGAUGUUGUAUAUGAACCGAAUGAAAUGGAAAAUCGAACUUGUUAAUCUCAUAUCAUGGAACUGAGUUAGAGAAAGAGUGCUUAUAAGAAAGUUGCAGUAUGAGGAUGUUGCAUGUAUGUCAUGAGGGUUGCUGUUUACUGAAGAAGGCAGUAUGAUUGGUGGCAAUAAUGUUGUGUUGAUUGUGUGGUCAAAGUAUUUAGAACAGUAUUAUUUUACUAUAGAACUACUGCCCUGCCAUUUCUGUUGUGAGACU